AUUGAACGCUGGCGGCAGGCUUAACACAUGCAAGUCGAGCGGGGGAAGGUAGCUUGCUACCGGACCUAGCGGCGGACGGGUGAGUAAUGCUUAGGAAUCUGCCUAUUAGUGGGGGACAACAUCUCGAAAGGGAUGCUAAUACCGCAUACGUCCUACGGGAGAAAGCAGGGGAUCUUCGGACCUUGCGCUAAUAGAUGAGCCUAGGUCGGAAUAGCUAGUUGGUGGGGUAAAGGACUACCAAGGCGACGAUCUGUAGCGGGUCUGAGAGGAUGAUCCGCCACACUGGGACUGAGACACGGCCCAGACUCCUACGGGAGGCAGCAGUUGGGAAUAUUGGACAAUGGGGGGAACCCUGAUCCAGCCAUGCCGCGUGUGUGAAGAAGGCCUUAUGGUUGUAAAGCACUUUAAGCGAGGAGGAGGCUACUCUAGUUAAUACCUAGGGAUAGUGGACGUUACUCGCAGAAUAAGCACCGGCUAACACUGUGCCAGCAGCCGCAGUAA
rnacentral:rRNA from 1 species